ACACGUCUUCAGGGCGGGGUGAAAUUCCCCACCGGCGGUAUGCGGCGCAAGCCGCGAGCCCGCGAGCGCUCUUCACCUCUCCGGUGAAGAGGUCAGCAGAUUCGGUGAGAUGCCGAAGCCGACGGUCAGAGUCCGGAUGAAAGAAGAUGUGC
rnacentral:ncRNA from 2 species